CAGUCGAACGGAAAGGCUCCAGCUUGCUGGAGUACUCGAGUGGCGCACUGGUGAGUAACACGUGGGUAAUCUGCCCUGCACUCUGGGAUAAGCCUGGGAAACUGGGUCUAAUACUGGAUAUGACCUUUCUCCUUAUGGGGUUUGGUGGAAAGUUUUUCGGUGUAGGAUGAGCCCGCGGCCUAUCAGCUUGUUGGUGGGGUGAUGGCCUACCAAGGCGACGACGGGUAGCCGGCCUGAGAGGGUGAUCGGCCACAUUGGGACUGAGAUACGGCCCAGACUCCUACGGGAGGCAGCAGUGGGGAAUAUUGCACAAUGGGCGGAAGCCUGAUGCAGCGACGCCGCGUGAGGGAUGACGGCCUUCGGGUUGUAAACCUCUUUCAGCAGGGACGAAGCGUAAGUGACGGUACCUGCAGAAGAAGCACCGGCUAACUACGUGCCAGCAGCCGCGGUAAUACGUAGGGUGCGAGCGUUGUCCGGAAUUACUGGGCGUAAAGAGCUCGUAGGCGGUUUGUCACGUCGUCUGUGAAAUCCUAGGGCUUAACCCUGGACGUGCAGGCGAUACGGGCUGACUUGAGUACUACAGGGGAGACUGGAAUUUCUGGUGUAGCGGUGGAAUGCACAGAUAUCAGGAAGAACACCGAUGGCGAAGGCAGGUCUCUGGGUAGUAACUGACGCUGAGGAGCGAAAGCAUGGGUAGCGAACAGGAUUAGAUACCCUGGUAGUCCAUGCCGUANACGGUGGGCGCUAGGUGUGGGGUUNCUUCCACGGGCUCCGCGCCGUAGCUAACGCAUUAAGCGCCCCGCCUGGGGAGUAC
rnacentral:rRNA from 1 species